rnacentral:rRNA from 1 species
GGUCAAGCUACAAAGGGCGCAUGGUGAAUGCCUUGGCAUCAGGAGCCGAUGAAGGACGCGAUAAGCUGCGAUAAGCUUCGGGUAGGCGCACAUAGCCAGAGAUCCGAAGAUUUCCGAAUGAGGAAACUCACAUGGGAAACCCCAUGUAUCAUAAAGUGAAUACAUAGCUUUAUGAAGGUAAACCCAGGGAACUGAAACAUCUAAGUACCUGGAGGAAGAGAAAGAAAAAUCGAUUUUCUUAGUAGCGGCGAGCGAAAAGGAAAGAGCCCAAACCAGAGAUUUAUCUCUGGGGUUGCGGACAGAACAUAACGAGAAAUCAUGGUUAAUUGAACACAACUGGAAAGUUGGACCACAGGGGGUAAUAGUCCCGUAAGUGAAAACUAUGAUAAUCAGUUCUGCACCAGAGUACCACGAGACACGUGAAACCUUGUGGGAAGCAGGGAGGACCACCUCCCAAGGCUAAAUACUACCUGAUGACCGAUAGUGAAGCAGUACCGUGAGGGAAAGGUGAAAAGAACCCCGGGAGGGGAGUGAAAUAGAA